AUUUCAUUGAACAGUGGCUCUAUGGAAAUUUCUGGCAGUGGAAAUUCUGGAAUGGAAUUAGCUGGGUGUAGAAGACUACGUCUGUGAAUCUCACGCCACCAUCCAUUUCCACGGUGAGCCACUUACCCCAAAUGGUACAAAAUGACGGGCAAUUAUUUACUAGGACCGGUCGAAAUAGUGAAAACUGGGGAAACAGCCGGUCUAAUUUCAUGCCGGAGUAACCAUCGUGGUCGCGACCAUUGAAUAGGAUGAAGCCGGGCUGGGAGUGAGAGCAGAGGCAAGAAUUUCACGUCAAAUUUCGUGAGAUUCCCGGUCGCACACGAACUGAAAUGAUCUUAAAGACGAGUCUCUCUUUUACCGGAUUUCAAGGGAUCUUCCUCGUCUUCGACGGGAAAAUCCUGUCGGCUUGAACGACGAAAAAGAAUUUCAUCUCGAGAUCCCGUUGCUCGUCGACGACAGAAUUGAACCGUGCGACUGGAUAAAGGAAGAAGCCAUCUCGUACACAAAACAGCCGGCUGUAGCAUUCCUGACGCUGUCCCCAUUGUCCUUAAACGUAUUUAAUUAAAUUUGUAAGUUCAUUGUAAGUGUGUAUUUGUAGAAAUUGAAGUUGGACGUUCGCUGUGUUGUAUUCAGGAUUCGUGUGGAAAUAAGCAUCGGUGAUCACGAUAUAAUUUAAUAUUUCCAAUUGUGAACAAUACAAUUGUGAAGAAUUCAAGUGAACAUAUAUCUAUUAAGAUUGGGGGAAAGUGUGACUUCGUGUCUGUGCGAUAUUAUGUCUGAAUUAUAAUUGUAUAAAAACUUUUUACUUGUGUACUACACUCACGACUGGUUCAAUAAAAUUGGUUCACGCUUUUUGUAA